rnacentral:rRNA from 1 species
GACAGAGGCCUCGAGCGUUAGGCGGAAUCACUGGGCUUAAAGCGUGUGUAGGCGGGCCCGUAAGUGUCUUGUGAAAUCCCACGGCUCAACCGUGGAACUGCUGGGCAUACUGCGGGUCUUGGGCCAACUAGGGGCAGCCGGAACAAAUGGUGGAGCGGUGAAAUGCGUAGAUAUCAUCUGGAACGCCAAUGGUGUAAACAGGUUGCUGGGGGUGUGCUGACGCUGAGACACGAAAGCCAGGGGAGCGAACGGG